rnacentral:tRNA from 1 species
GGCGGGAUAGCUCAGCCGGUAGAGCAACGGGAUCAUAAUCCGCAGGUCGGGGGUUCAAAUCCCUCUCCCGCUACCA